AACGAACGCUGGCGGCAGGCUUAACACAUGCAAGUCGAACGCAUCGCAAGAUGAGUGGCAGACGGGUGAGUAACGCGUGGGAACAUGCCCUUUUCUACGGAAUAGCUCUGGGACACUGGAAUUAAUACCGUAUACGUACUACGGGGGAAAGAUUUAUCGGGGAAGGAUUGGCCCGCGUUGGAUUAGCUAGUUGGUGGGGUAAAGGCCUACCAAGGCGACGAUCCAUAGCUGGUCUGAGAGGAUGAUCAGCCACAUUGGGACUGAGACACGGGCCAAACUCCUACGGGAGGCAGCAGUGGGGAAUAUUGGACAAUGGGCGCAAGCCUGUUCCAGCCAUGCCGCGUGAGUGAUGAGGGCCUUAGGGUUGUAAAGCUCUUUCACCGAUGAAGAUAAUGACGGUAGUCGGAGAAGAAGCCCCGGCUAACUUCGUGCCAGCCGCCGCCGUAACAC
rnacentral:rRNA from 1 species